CAUAAACAGUGUGGAUAUUACCAGUCUUUUGUUUUGUCCCUUGGACGCAUGAUACUUUUAUUUUGCUGAUCUGCAGGUACAUGAGUGGGUACAAGUUGUAGUAGCCAAGUGGUUAACUAGUUGUUUUUACAACAAAAAAAAAAAAAAAAAAAAGGUACCAAAACUAACAAGUUGCCCUCAAGAUAACAGAACAAAAAUUAUCAACCAGCCGACAUUUCCUAAUUAUGUAAUUAGUCUUCUUUUUUUUUUCUUUUUUUUUUUUUUGGAAAACAUGUAAUUAGUCUUCUUUGUACUAAACUGGAACCUUAUACGUACUGCCUGCCUCAAAGCAAUGACAUGAUCACGGAAAAUCAAAGCUAACUUACAUUAUACAAUUUCAUUUCCUUUACAUUAUUAGAGAUUAAAUAACAAAAUAAAGUUAUGACUAAUGCUACCGUCAUGUGAUAGAUAUUUGUUGAUGCACAAAAUCAGUGGGGACUUUGGUACAACAGAAAGUGUUAAGUUUGUCACCUUCGCUAGAUUGCUUCAGUCACUAGUGUGGAUAAGUAUGUAAAUGGAUAGAGACAGGGAAGCAAACACAAGAUGUACGUGG
rnacentral:lncRNA from 1 species